rnacentral:rRNA from 1 species
CCGAUAACUCCGGAAUAGCCUUUCGAAAGAAAGAUUAAUACCGGAUGGCAUACGAAUAUCGCAUGAUAUUUUUAUUAAAGAAUUUCGGUUAUCGAUGGGGAUGCGUUCCAUUAGUUUGUUGGCGGGGUAACGGCCCACCAAGACUACGAUGGAUAGGGGUUCUGAGAGGAAGGUCCCCCACAUUGGAACUGAGACACGGUCCAAACUCCUACGGGAGGCAGCAGUGAGGAAUAUUGGUCAAUGGGCGCGAGCCUGAACCAGCCAAGUAGCGUGAAGGAUGAAGGCUCUAUGGGUCGUAAACUUCUUUUAUAUGGGAAUAAAGUUUUCCACGUGUGGAAUUUUGUAUGUACCAUAUGAAUAAGGAUCGGCUAACUCCGUGCCAGCAGCCGCGGUAAUACGGAGGAUCCGAGCGUUAUCCGGAUUUAUUGGGUUUAAAGGGAGCGUAGGUGGAUUGUUAAGUCAGUUGUGAAAGUUUGCGGCUCAACCGUAAAAUUGCAGUUGAAACUGGCAGUCUUGAGUACAGUAGAGGUGGGCGGAAUUCGUGGUGUAGCGGUGAAAUGCUUAGAUAUCACGAAGAACUCCGAUUGCGAAGGCAGCUCACUAGACUGUUACUGACACUGAUGCUCGAAAGUGUGGGUAUCAAACAGGAUUAGAUACCCUGGUAGUCCACACAGUAAACGAAGAAUACUCGCUGUUUGCGAUAUACAGUAAGCGGCC